rnacentral:tRNA from 2 species
CUUUUAAAGGAUAACAGC